rnacentral:rRNA from 1 species
AGCGAACGCUGGCGGCAGGCCUAACACAUGCAAGUCGAGCGGCCGUAGCAAUACGGCAGCGGCAGACGGGAGAGUAACACGUGGGAACGUACCUUUCAGUUCGGAACAACCCAGGGAAACUUGGGCUAAUACCGGAUACGCCCGUAAGGGGAAAGAUUUAUCGCUGAAAGAUCGGCCCGCGUCUGAUUAGCUAGUUGUUGAGGUAAUGGCUCACCAAGGCGACGAUCAGUAGCUGGUCUGAGAGGAUGAUCAGGCUCAAUGGGACUGCGACACGGCCCAGACUCCUACGGGAGGCAGCAGUGGGGAAUAGUGGACAAUGGGCGCAAGCCUGAUCCAGCCAUGCCGCGUGGAUGAUGAAGGCCCUAGGGUUGUAAAGUCCUUUCGGCGGGGAAGAUAAUGACGGUACCCGCAGAAGAAGCCCCGGCUAACUUCGUGCCAGCCGCCGCGGUAAAAC